GAUGAACGCUGGCGGCGUGCUUAACACAUGCAAGUCGAACGAAGCACUUUAUUUGAUUUCCUUCGGGACUGAUUAUUUUGUGACUGAGUGGCGGACGGGUGAGUAACGCGUGGGUAACCUGCCUUGUACAGGGGGAUAACAGUUGGAAACGGCUGCUAAUACCGCAUAAGCGCACGGCAUCGCAUGAUGCAGUGUGAAAAACUCCGGUGGUAUAAGAUGGACCCGCGUUGGAUUAGCUAGUUGGUGAGGUAACGGCCCACCAAGGCGACGAUCCAUAGCCGACCUGGGAGGGUGACCGGCCACAUUGGGACUGAGACACGGCCCAAACUCCUACGGGAGGCAGCAGUGGGGAAUAUUGCACAAUGGGCGAAAGCCUGAUGCAGCGACGCCGCGUGAGCGAAGAAGUAUUUCGGUAUGUAAAGCUCUAUCAGCAGGGAAGAUAAUGACGGUACCUGACGAAGAAGCACCGGCUAAAUACGUG
rnacentral:rRNA from 1 species